AACUGCAUCAGCAUACGCGUGUGUGAAGAAGCUUAGGUUGUAAAGCACUUCAAUUGGAAGGAAAACCUCGAAGUUAAUACCUUCGAGUUUGACAUUACCUUUAGAAGAAGCACCGGCUAACUCCGUGCCAGCAGCCGCGGUAAUACGGAGGGUGCAAGCGUUAAUCGGAAUUACUGGGCGUAAAGCGUGCGUAGGCGGCUUGUUAAGUCAGAUGUGAAAGCCCUGGGCUCAACCUGGGAACUGCAUUUGAAACUGGCAAGCUAGAGUUUAAGAGAGGUAAGUGGAAUUUCAGGUGUAGCGGUGAAAUGCGUAGAGAUCUGAAGGAACACCAGUGGCGAAGGCGACUUACUGGCUUAAAACUGACGCUCAGGUACGAAAGCGUGGGUAGCAAACAGGAUUAGAUACCCUGGUAGUCCACGCCGUAAACGAUGUCAACUAGCCGUUGGCUCUCUUUUUGAGAGUUAGUGGCGCAGCUAACGCAUUAAGUUCUCCGCCUGGGGAGUACGGCCGCAAGGUUAAAACUCAAAUGAAUUGACGGGGGCCCGCACAAGCGGUGGAGCAUGUGGUUUAAUUCGAUGCAACGCGAAGAAACUUACCUGGCCUUGACAUCCUGCGAACUUUCCAGAAAUGGAUCGGUGCCUUCGGGAGCG
rnacentral:rRNA from 1 species